AGUGAGCGCUGGCGGUAGGCCUAACACAUGCAAGUCGAACGGCAGCACAGUAAGAGCUUGCUCUUACGGGUGGCGAGUGGCGGACGGGUGAGGAAUACAUCGGAAUCUACUUUUUCGUGGGGGAUAACGUAGGGAAACUUACGCUAAUACCGCAUACGACCUACGGGUGAAAGCAGGGGAUCUUCGGACCUUGCGCGAUUGAAUGAGCCGAUGUCGGAUUAGCUAGUUGGCGGGGUAAAGGCCCACCAAGGCGACGAUCCGUAGCUGGUCUGGGAGGAUGAUCAGCCACACUGGAACUGAGACACGGUCCAGACUCCUACGGGAGGCAGCAGUGGGGAAUAUUGGACAAUGGGCGCAAGCCUGAUCCAGCCAUACCGCGUGGGUGAAGAAGGCCUUCGGGUUGUAAAGCCCUUUUGUUGGGAAAGAAAAGCAGCAGGUUAAUACCCCGCUGUUCUGACGGUACCCAAAGAAUAAGCACCGGCUAACUUCGUG
rnacentral:rRNA from 1 species